rnacentral:rRNA from 1 species
UGUGUAGGCGGCCUGUUAAGUUCCGUGUGAAAUCUCCCGGCUCAACCGGGAGGGUGCGCGGAAAACUGGCGGGCUAGAGUGCGGGAUGGGAGAGUAGAAUUUCUGGUGUAGCGGUGAAAUGCGUAGAUAUCAGGAGGAAUACCGGUGGUGUAGACGGCUCUCUGGACCGUAACUGACGCUGAAACACGAAAGCGUGGGUAGCAAACAGGAUUAGAUACCCUGGUAGUCCACGCCCUAAACGAUGCAUAUUUGGUGUAGGCAGUUCAUUCUGUCUGUGCCGGAGCUAACGCGUUAAAUAUGCCGCCUGGGGAGUACAGUCGCAAGGCUGAA